rnacentral:rRNA from 1 species
AUUGAACGCUGGCGGCAGGCCUAACACAUGCAAGUCGAACGGUAACAGGAAACAGCUUGCUGUUUCGCUGACGAGUGGCGGACGGGUGAGUAAUGUCUGGGAAACUGCCUGAUGGAGGGGGAUAACUACUGGAAACGGUAGCUAAUACCGCAUAACGUCGCAAGACCAAAGAGGGGGACCUUCGGGCCUCUUGCCAUCGGAUGUGCCCAGAUGGGAUUAGCUAGUAGGUGGGGUAUCGGCUCACCUAGGCGACGAUCCCUAGCUGGUCUGAGAGGAUGACCAGCCACACUAGAACUGAGACACGGUCCAGACUCCUACGGGAGGCAGCAGUGGGGAAUAUUGCACAAUGGGCGCAAGCCUGAUGCAGCCAUGCCGCGUGUAUGAAGAAGGCCUUCGGGUUGUAAAGUACUUUCAGCGGGGAGGAAGGGAGUAAAGUUAAUACCUUUACUCAUUGACGUUACCCGCAGAAGAAGCACCGGCUAACUCCGU